rnacentral:rRNA from 1 species
AUUGAACGCUGGCGGCAGGCCUAACACAUGCAAGUCGAACGAGUGGCGGACGGGUGAGAAAUGUCUGGGAAACUGCCUGAUGGAGGGGGAUAACUACUGGAAACGGUAGCUAAUACCGCAUACCAUCAGAUGUGCCCAGAUGGGCUUGGCUUGUUGGUGGGGUAACGGCUCACCAAGGCGAAGAUCCCUAGCUGGUCUGAGCGGAUGACCAGCAACAUUGGAACUGGGCAACGGUCCAGACUCCUACGGGGGGCAGCAGUGGGGAGUAUUGCACAAUGGGCGAAAGCCUGAUGCAGCCAUGCCGCGUGUAUGAAGAAGGCCUUCGGGUGGUAAAGUACUUUCAGCGGGGAGGCGUUACCCGCAGAAGAAGCACCGGCUAACUCCGUGCCAGCAGCCGCGGUAAUAC